rnacentral:rRNA from 1 species
UACGAAGGGGGCGAGCGUUGUUCGGAAUUACUGGGCGUAAAGGGCGCGUAGGCGGCGACCCAAGUCAGAUGUGAAAGUCCUGGGCUUAACCUGGGGACUGCAUUUGAUACUGGGUUGCUUGAAUUCGGGAGAGGAUAGCGGAAUUCCCAGUGUAGAGGUGAAAUUCGUAGAUAUUGGGGGGAACACCGGUGGCGAAGGCGGCAUCCUGGACCGGUAUUGACACUGAAAAGCGAAAGCCAGGGGAGCAAACGGG